AUAUAUAUAUAUAUAAACAUAUAUAUGGUGAAAACACUGGGUUUGAAAGUACAGUGAAAACAGCUACUGCAAUUGCUCAAUAUCCUCAAGUUUAAAAAAUCAUAUAGGAAAACAACUAAAUAAAGGAAGGGUGAUUAUUGCAGUUUCGUGGGGAAAAAAAGAGAAAAAGCUGCUUUUCAAAAUUAACCAAAGAAAUGAAAGGAAACAAAGAUCAUUCAGGAUCUUUAAAGAUUUUAGCCAGUGGUAUGGAACUUAGUAAUACAAGCUCACUUUUACAAUACCCCCAACAAAUAUUUUGCAUUUUAGCUAUAAUGUCUUCACAGAAAGAAAUCAACCAAUAAAGAAAAGGCAUGGUUAGUAAAAUAAUCUAAAAAUAGUCAUGUAAGUUAUUUUUAUGCCCUCAUUCAGCAAAACCUUUGUGAUAAACUCAUCAAAGGAAUUACUAAAAAAUUUAUUAGCCUGUCAAUUCCAGCCAAGAAGGAAUAUGUUCAGUAUGGUCCCUCCCCAAUGAUGACAAUAAAAACUCUGGACAAAAUCCAAUAAGCAACUACUUGAGGACUAAAAGUAAACAAAAGCAAGUAUAUUGCAGAAGGAAGACAAAACUCGGAGAAGCUAACUUUAAGGGGGUACAUUUCCCAUCCCCCCCAACCCCUUUUCUCUUGCAAUGUUUCCUUAAGAAUGGACCUCUAGUCAUGAGAUUCGCAGCAAUAGCAGAGCCAGUGGCAAUUACUCCUAUACAAACCCUAUAUUUUUGGCUACAAAGAAUCAGGAUAGAGGCUCCUGCCGUUCAAAGAGUAGUAAGAAGGGAAUCCCUGUAUUAUUUCCUCUUUCUUUUUUCCCACAGUUCUGACCUGAGAGUGGGCCCCAGGUACGAAACUGCAGCUGUAAAGGUGCCACAGGCAGCCAAACUUGGAAACAAUCAAGAUGUCUUUCAAAAGGUUCAUUUAAGGAUUAGGUGAAGAAACAGUGGACCACACAAGAAUGUUCUGAGAUAUGAGAACUAUAAGAAAUCAAAGGGACGAGAGAAGUUCCAGAUGAAACAUAAUCAAGGAGUUCCUGCCAUCUGGAGGACAUCCCAACAUUACAAUGAGAAAGCAAUCAGCAGUUCCUCCAGGACAAGGGAGUCUGUUUCUCACACUUGUGAACUUCACACCAGACUAAUAAUCACAGAAACCCGAAAGUUUUGUCAGCCUACAAAAGGUUAAAACAAAUGACUGUUCAUUAACAAUAAACAGCUGAUAAAAAUUUUAAGCUUGGCGCUUAUAAAAGUUUUUUUCCAAAAGGAAAAUGUUAAAUGAUUACAAAUUAGCAAGUUUUCCUUUUUUGUUACAGUGUAUGGUUUUG